CUAGCUGGUCUGAGAGGAUGACCAGCCACACUGGAACUGAGACACGGUCCAGACUCCUACGGGAGGCAGCAGUGGGGAAUAUUGCACAAUGGGCGCAAGCCUGAUGCAGCCAUGCCGCGUGUAUGAAGAAGGCCUUCGGGUUGUAAAGUACUUUCAGCGGGGAGGAAGGGAGUAAAGUUAAUACCUUUGCUCAUUGACGUUACCCGCAGAAGAAGCACCGGCUAACUCCGUGCCAGCAGCCGCGGUAAUACGGAGGGUGCAAGCGUUAAUCGGAAUUACUGGGCGUAAAGCGCACGCAGGCGGUUUGUUAAGUCAGAUGUGAAAUCCCCGGGCUCAACCUGGGAACUGCAUCUGAUACUGGCAAGCUUGAGUCUCGUAGAGGGGGGUAGAA
rnacentral:rRNA from 1 species